CCUACGGGUGGCAGCAGUGAGGAAUAUUGGUCAAUGGGCGUAAGCCUGAACCAGCCAAGUCGCGUGAGGGAUGAAGGUACUAUGUAUCGUAAACCUCUUUUAUAAGGGAAUAAAGGGGGGGACUAGUCCCGUUUUGAAGGUACCUGAUGAAUAAGGAUCGGCUAACUCCGUGCCAGCAGCCGCGGUAAUACGGAGGAUCCGAGCGUUAUCCGGAUUUAUUGGGUUUAAAGGGUGCGUAGGCGGCCUUUUAAGUCAGCGGUGAAAGCCUGUGUCUCAACCAUAGAAUGGCCGUUGAAACUGGGAGGCUUGAGUAUGUUUGAGGCAGGCGGAAUGCGUGGUGUAGCGGUGAAAUGCUUAGAUAUCGCGCAGAACCCCGAUUGCGAAGGCAGCCUGCCAAGCCAUGACUGACGCUGAUGCACGAAAGCGUGGGGAUCAAACAGGAUUAGAUACCCGGGUAGUC
rnacentral:rRNA from 1 species